GGAGAAAUGGCAGAGCGGUCGAUUGCGGCAGUCUUGAAAACUGUUGACUGUUACAGGUCCGGGGGUUCGAAUCCCUCUUUCUCCG
rnacentral:tRNA from 3 species